rnacentral:rRNA from 1 species
CUAUACCGAAGGAUAGCUAAUACCGCAUACGACCUGAGGGUGAAAGCGGGGACCGUAAGGCCUCGCGCGAUUGGAGCGGCCGAUAUCGGAUUAGCUAGUUGGUGAGGUAAAAGGCUCACCAAGGCGACGAUCCGUAGCUGGUCUGAGAGGACGACCAGCCACACUGGAACUGAGACACGGUCCAGACUCCUACGGGAGGCAGCAGUGGGGAAUUUUGGACAAUGGGGGCAACCCUGAUCCAGCCAUUCCGCGUGAGUGAAGAAGGCCUUCGGGUUGUAAAGCUCUUUCAGCAGGAACGAAACGGUGGUCCCUAAUACGGGCUACUAAUGACGGUACCUGAAGAAGAAGCACCGGCUAACUACGUGCCAGCAGCCGCGGUAAUACGUAGGGUGCGAGCGUUAAUCGGAAUUACUGGGC